rnacentral:rRNA from 1 species
UACGGAGGGUGCAAGCGUUAUCCGGAUUCACUGGGUUUAAAGGGUGCGUAGGAGGGCAGGUAAGUCAGUGGUGAAAUCCUAGAGCUUAACUCUAGAACUGCCGUUGAUACUAUCUGUCUUGAAUCCCGUGGAGAUGAGCGGAAUAUGUCAUGUAGCGGUGAAAUGCUUAGAUAUGACAUAGAACACCAAAUUGCGAAGGCAGCUCGUUACACGAAGAUUGACUCUGAGGCACGAAAAGCGUGGGGAUCAAACAGG